rnacentral:tRNA from 1 species
GGGGCAUAGCUCAGUGGUAGAGCACUCGCCUAACAUGUGUGAGGCCUUGGGUUUUAGUCCCCAGAACCA